GCUUCCCACCUUGCCCGAGCCCGCCCCUAGCCAGUGGUUCUCCACGCACCCAGCAUCCAGCGAGAGUCGCAGCGCGCCGACGGAGCGGACAUGGGCAAAGCGAUGGUGGCCAGGCUCGGACUGGGGCUGCUGCUUCUGGCGCUGCUCUUACCCACGCAGAUUUAUUCAAAUCAAACAACUGCCAUAACACUUUCAAGUAACUCCACCCAGAGUACCUCGGCUGCCCCAAGUACAACUAAUGUCACCACCCCAGGAGGUGGUGCCCUGCAGUCUACAGCCAGCCUCCUCGUGAUCUCACUCUCCCUUUUACAUCUUUACUGCUAAGAGACUCAGGUCAAGAAACAUCUAUGCUUCCCCAUCUUCUGAACCCAACCCAAAUGGCAUCUGAAGUCCAGUGUGGCAAGGAGAAAACAGGUCUUCAUCGAAUCUACUGGUUCUACAUCUUAUUGAUACAGAAAAUGUUGAGAAUCCCAAAUUUGACUGGUUUGAAGAACAUGUGAAGGAUUUGACUAGAUGAUGAAGGCCAAUAUUAAUUCUGCUGGAGUUUUAUGCAGAAGACAAAGACAGACAACAUCCAAAAUGAAGAGAGGAUUUCCUUAAAUGUGACUUAAGAAAUAUGGACACUUAAAACUCUACCUUGAAAAACAAAUAGAUUUUCUCUUACGUAGAGAGAAGCAAUGGGGUGUGGAAUGGAGAUUCAGUUUUCAUUUGGUACAUUAAAUAUAUAGGGCCAUGAAAUGAUUAGGUAACAUAAAAGCUUCCAUGAUUCUAUUUAUGUGUACGUUAGAAGGAACCUCCAGGUGUUACUGUAAAUUCUACAUGUACUGUUUCACCAAUACUAAUUUAAUGCUGAUAAGCUCUAGAUAAAAGUUUUACAUUGUUAAGCUAUCACUGUUCUCUUGGGAACUGAACUCUUUUAUUUCUGAGGCUUUGGAUUUGACAUUGUAUUUGACUUUUUAUGUAGUAAUUGACAUGUGCCAGUGCAAUGAUGUAUUGGAAUCUACCCACCAGUGCAAGCAUAAUGAAUAAACCUUGCUUAUACACUUGUAAAAUCAGAUGGUAGGCAUUUCCCAUCACAUUCCCAUCCACCAACAGCACCAGAUUCAUUUAGCUAAACUGAUUCCAAAGAGUAGAAGUACAUUGACCUCAACCAAUUUCAAAAUGCUGCAUUUUUGUUUCUGCAUAUAUUGAAUACUUUUUACAAUUUAAUAAGUGGUCUGUUUUGAAAGAAAAAUUGACAGGUCUUAAAAUUUAAAAGGCAAAUGUGAAGGAGCCAAAAGUAAAUAAUGUAUCCAGUAUUUGGGAAGUGAGGACUGGAACCUAUCCUGCAUUAAAUUCGCAAAAACUUUUAUACUCUUUCUGUAAAUACUUUUUUUAACUUUAUGAAUCAGAGUAGCCACAUUUGGAACACUUUCUGUAUCAGUUAAUAUUUUUUAGACAGUUAGAACUUGGUCCUAAGCCUAAAGUUGGCUUGAUUCUGGAAAGUAAAUCUUUUACAACUGCCUCAAUGCACAGAAACCUUUUUAAAAAUAGAUACCCUAUGAAGUUUUUGUUCGCAUGGUCACACACUGAUGCUUUGAUGUCCCAGUAUCUAAUAUGGCCACAGUAGUCUUGAUAGCCAGUCAUUUUUUACCCCCUCUAGAAUCCUACGUGGGAACAACCAGAUCCAACAAGCUACUGUGUGUGUGAAUGAACACUCCCUUUUGCUCUAUAUGUGAAUGCUAUACAUCUGUUUUGGAUUGUAUAUUGUGUUUGUGUAUUUAUGCUUUGAUUCAUAGUAACUUCUCAUGUUAUGGAAUUGAUUUGCAUUGAACACAAACUGUAAAUAAAAAAUGGCUGAAAGAGCAA